rnacentral:rRNA from 1 species
CGCACGGGUGAGUAACACGUAUCCAACCUGCCGUCUACUCUUGGACAGCCUUCUGAAAGGAAGAUUAAUACAAGAUGGCAUCAUGAGUCCGCAUGUUCACAUGAUUAAAGGUGUUCCGGUAGACGAUGGGGAUGCGUUCCAUUAGAUAGUAGGCGGGGUAACGGCCCACCUAGUCUUCGAUGGAUAGGGGUUCUGAGAGGAAGGUCCCCCACAUUGGAACUGAGACACGGUCCAA